AGGCAGCAGUGGGGAAUAUUGCGCAAUGGGCGAAAGCCUGACGCAGCGACGCCGCGUGGGGGAGGAAGGCCUCAGGGUUGUAAACCCCUGUCAGGUGGGACGAACCCCGGAUCGAGUAAUACACGGUCCGACUGACGGUACCACCAGAGGAAGCUCCGGCUAACUCCGUGCCAGCAGCCGCGGUAAUACGGAGGGAGCUAGCGUUGUUCGGAAUUACUGGGCGUAAAGGGCGCGUAGGCGGUCGGGUAAGUCGGGUGUGAAAUUCCGGGGCUCAACCCCGCGAACUGCAUCCGAUACUGCUCGACUUGAGAGAGGUAGGGGCGAGUGGAAUUCCCGGUGUAGCGGUGGAAUGCGUAGAUAUCGGGAAGAACACCGGUGGCGAAGGCGGCUCGCUGGACCUUUUCUGACGCUGAAGCGCGAAAGCGUGGGGAGCAAACAGGAUUAGAUACCCUGGUAGUCCACGCCGUAAACGAUGGGUACUAGGUGUUGGGAGGAUUGACCCUUUCAGUGCCGACGCUAACGCAUUAAGUACCCCGCCUGGGGAGUACGGCCGCAAGGCUGAAACUCAAAGGAAUUGACGG
rnacentral:rRNA from 1 species